GAUGAACGCUGGCGGCGUGCCUAAUACAUGCAAGUCGAGCGAACGGACGAGAAGCUUGCUUCUCUGAUGUUAGCGGCGGACGGGUGAGUAACACGUGGAUAACCUACCUAUAAGACUGGGAUAACUUCGGGAAACCGGAGCUAAUACCGGAUAAUAUUUUGAACCGCAUGGUUCAAAAGUGAAAGACGGUCUUGCUGUCACUUAUAGAUGGAUCCGGGCUGCAUUAGCUAGUUGGUAAGGUAACGGCGUACCAAGGCAACGAUGCAUAGCCGACCUGAGAGGGUGAUCGGCCACACUGGAGCUGAGACACGGUCCAGACUCCUACGGGAGGCAGCAGUAGGGAAUCUUCCGCAAUGGGCGAAAGCCUGACGGAGCAACGGCGCGUGAGUGAUGAAGGUCUUCGGAUCGUAAAACUCUGUUAUUAGGGAAGAACAUAUGUGUAAGUAACUGUGCACAUCUUGACGGUAACUAAUCAGAAAGCCACGGCUAACUACGUG
rnacentral:rRNA from 1 species